GUCAUGUAGAGAAUAGGGGAAUUCCUGGUGGAGCGGGUUAAAUGCGUUGAUAUCAGGAGGAACACCCAAUGGCGAAAGCACCUAUUUGGACAUGUACUGACGCUAAGGCUCGAAAGUGUGGGGAGCAAAACGGGAUUAGAUACCCGUGUAGUCCUCACCGUAAACGAUCCCUGUUAGAUGUUCGAAAUUUGCUGAAAUUUCUCUUCGGAGAAGGAUAAGCACUUUUUGAGUGUCGCAGCUAACGCGUUAAACAGGGCGCCUGUGAAGUACGACCGCAAGGUUAAAACACAAAGGAAUUGACGGGGACCCGCACAAGCAGUGGAGUGCCUGGUUUAAUUCGAUGAUCAACGAAGAACCUCACCUGGGCUUGAACUGUGGCUGCUAAUCCUAUGAAAGUAGGACUCUUUCGAAGGUGCCACAGAGGUGAUGCAUGGCUGUCGUAAGCUCGUGUCGUGAGAUGUCGGGUUAAGUCCCACAACGAGCGCAACCCUA
rnacentral:rRNA from 1 species